rnacentral:lncRNA from 1 species
UAAUCGCUAUGGGAUGGUAGAUUUAUUAGAAGAUGCUCAUAAUGGUAUAUCAGGAGGUCCUUCCAGUUGGUUGGGGAAAACUACUCAUUUAGAAGCCAUUAAUCUGAAUACUGGUGUUAUAAUUACAGUGGAUAAUGAUACAAACCUAAAAAAUCUGUUCGAUAUGUAUAAGAAUAUGGAGACAAAAGAGAUUCAUAUAAAACUAAAUAUAAUGAAUGAAAAUCUUGAUGAAGUUGAAGAUGAAAAUUUUCAGUGGACUGACAAUGAGGAGGAUGAAGAUACGAUUGAGAAUAUGGUGAUCACUCGGACUAACAAAAUGAUGAUGUUCUAUCUGAUUAUGAAUCUGAUGAAAACACAGUAUUUGA